rnacentral:rRNA from 1 species
GUCCUUAGUUACCAGCACGUUAUGUGGGCGACUCUAAGGAGACUGCCGGUGACAACCGACGGGAAGGUGGGGAUGACGUCAAGUCAUCAUGGCCCUUACGGCCUGGGCUACACACGUGCUACAAUGGUCGGUACAAAGGGUUGCCAAGCCGCGAGGUGGAGCUAAUCCCAUAAAACCGAUCGUAGUCCGGAUCGCAGUCUGCAACUCGACUGCGUGAAGUCGGAAUCGCUAGUAAUCGUGAAUCAGAAUGUCACGGUGAAUACGUUCCCGGGCCUU